CGGAAACGCAAAGAUAAAAAACAAAAACGGAAACCGAAUAAAAAAAGAAAAAUUCAUCAAACACAUAAAAGACCAUGCUACAUUCAUAAUAUUGAAACGUCGGAUUUCGAUAGCAUCAAUCAAAUUAUUCGUGAUCAUAAAUAUCAAUUGAAAGACAUUAAAAAAACUUGGAAAGUCGUACCAAAAGAUUCGUGUGAAGUAUACAAGAAUCGUCGCAACCGAAAAGAUGAAACUGUAUCCGAAAGAAAUAAGGAAGAAGGAAACCAAAGAGAAGAUAGUAACGGACAGAGAGUUCAUGCGAAGAGAAGGGUUAGGCGGCCUUUGAAAAGAGAUAGCCGUGGACGGUUUCUUCCCGAAUCUUCCAAAUGCUCGUGCUGUACACGGACUAACACGGAUACAGAUACUACAUACACUCCGUCGGAGGCAGCUUACGAUGAUUGAAUUAAUUAAUUUUGUUACGUUUAUAUUAUAAUUGUUUUAUUUAUGC